rnacentral:rRNA from 1 species
CUCCUACGGGAGGCAGCAGUGGGGAAUCUUGCACAAUGGAGGAAACUCUGAUGCAGCGAUGCCGCGUGAGUGAAGAAGGCCCUUGGGUUGUAAAGCUCUUUCGUCGGGGAAGAAAAUGACGGUACCCGAAUAAGAAGGUCCGGCUAACUUCGUGCCAGCAGCCGCGGUAAU